rnacentral:rRNA from 1 species
GUGGAGCAUGUGGCUUAAUUUGACCCAACGCGGGAAAUCUUACCGGGUCCGGACACACUGAGGAUUGACAGGCAUAUUGUUAUUCUUAAUUCAUUUUAAGUUUAAUACGUAAAUACGCUAGACCUUUCAUGAUUAUGUGAUAGGUGGUGCAUGGCCGUUCUUAGUUCGUGGAGUGAUCUGUCUGCUUAAUUGCGUUUCACCAAGGUUCUAAAUUCAUAUGCGUGAUUGUUAGCGCAUUGACCCCUCGUAUUCAUUUACGCAGCGUGUGUCUUUGUUCUGCUUAACUCACGCGACUAGAACCUGAAAGCAACGAACGUGACCG